rnacentral:snRNA from 1 species
GUGCUCGCUUUGGCAGCACAUAUACUAAAAUUGGAACGAUACAGAGAAGAUUAGCAUGGCCCCUGCACAAGGAUGACAUGCAAAUUCGUGAAGCAUUCCAUAUUUUU